GACGAACCGAGCGAACGUUAUUCGGAAUCACUGGGCUUAAAGGGCGCGUAGGCGGGCGGCCGAGUCCGGGGUGAAAGCCCCCAGCUCAACUGGGGAAGUGCCUCGGAUACUGGUCGCCUCGAGGGAGAUAGGGGCGUGCGGAACUUCCGGUGGAGCGGUGAAAUGCGUAGAUAUCUAGAGGAACGCCUGAGGCGAAAGCGGGGCACUGGGCCGAUUCUGACGCUGAUACGCGAAAGCGUGGGGAGCAAACAGG
rnacentral:rRNA from 1 species